CUGAGUAGCGUUAGCUUGUGACCCAAGUGGGGGCAACAAUUUGAUGGGACAAGUGCAUGGUUUCGUUGGGUUGGGCUUAUAGUUUCAAUAUGUGGCCUGCCUACUCCAAGUUUAGAGUUGAAUUAUGGGUCUUGGGCUAAAGCUCAGAUCUCAUGAUUCCUAGACUGGAGGGCAAUGCGUGAGGCUGGUUUCACAGAGCAGCGAAUACCUCCGGCUCUUAACAGUGGAGAGAUAACGGGCUGCUGAUUCUAAAGCCCAUAAUGGCCUGGUGAGCCUGUUGCUUGAACCAUCAUUUUUUUUACAUAUUAUUACUUUUUUUUACGUAUUAUUCAUUCAUCAUUAGGUAAUUUUGUAUAUUGAAUGGUAUUCUCAUUACAAGAUGAGUACACUUUUCAUAACAAUAACUCAAAUUCCUUAGAAAAUUUCAAUGCAUAAUUACAAUUCCAAUUCAUUACACAAGAUGGUGGAUUUGUCUCAUGAUGAUAUACUUUGAAGAAUAAACUUAAUUUUAUUUAUUGAACACUAACUCUAAACUAAGGUGGAGAAUUUUCUUUGUUAUCAAAAGUAAAUUGUCUCCUAGAUAUAUAAGUGACAGAAGAAUAGUCAACACCAUAUGUGUUACUCCAUUGGUAUGUCAAACUUGAAGUAGGAUUGUCCCAAUUUUUCCUCUGUUUCUCUGUCACUUUUUCUUGCACGAGUUUGUAAUAGAAAAACAUAUGUUCCUGUUAAACAAAUAAAUAAAUAAAAAAAAAUCAAAGUUUGUGCAACAACAAAAAAUACAAUAAUAGUGGUCAAUGAACAAGUGAUGAACUCACACUAUCUUCAUUUCCACACGAUAAAAUUGGUCUUAUAUGACGAUCCAUGAUCUCUCUUGUUAGCCCAUCAUCAAAAACUGCCAUUAGAGUUGCUGCCAUGGCAAUAAAGAUUGAAGAUGAUUGUUGGUCCAUCAAAUCAACAUCUAUAAAAACAAUGACAUAAAAAACCAUUAGGUACAUCCAUGCUUUUUAAGUAAUGGUUCCAUAAACUUUGAAAACAUUUUUGGACUAUUGAAUGGUUACAAUUACGGUCGUAAUACGAUUUCGACAAAAACAUUAUUAUUUUGAUAAAAAAAUGUGGUCCAUUGCAUGAGAAGUAAUCUCCCUAAGUUCAAAUGUAUGCAACCUUAUCAUCCUAACCUUACCUCUCUGUAGAUUCUCACCGACAGAUAUGACUAUUUUGAUAAC
rnacentral:lncRNA from 1 species